rnacentral:rRNA from 1 species
CGCUAUUCACUCCUACGGGAGGCAGCAGUGGGGAAUAUUGCACAAUGGGCGCAAGCCUGAUGCAGCCAUGCCGCGUGUAUGAAGAAGGCCUUCGGGUUGUAAAGUACUUUCAGCAGUGAGGAAGGUGGAGUCGUUAAUAGCGGCCUCAUUUGACGUUAGCUGCAGAAGAAGCACCGGCUAACUCCGUGCCAGCAGCCGCGGUAAUACGGAGGGUGCGAGCGUUAAUCGGAAUUACUGGGCGUAAAGCGCAUGCAGGUGGUUUGUUAAGUCAGAUGUGAAAGCCCGGGGCUCAACCUCGGAAUUGCAUUUGAAACUGGCAGACUAGAGUACUGUAGAGGGGGUAGAAUUUCAGGUGUAGCGGUGAAAAUGCGUAGAGAUCUGAAGGAAUACCGGUGGCGAAGGCGGCCCCCUGGACAGAUACUGACACUCAGAUGCGAAAGCGUGGGGAGCAAACAGGAUUAGAUACCCUGGUAG